rnacentral:rRNA from 1 species
CCUACGGGUGGCAGCAGUGGGGAAUAUUGCGCAAUGGGCGAAAGCCUGACGCAGCGACGCCGCGUGAGGGAUGAAGGUCUUCGGAUCGUAAACCUCCGUCAGCAGGGAAGUACGGUCACUGUGCUAAUCAGCAGUGAAUUGACGGUACCUGCAAAGGACGCACAGGCUAACUCCGUGCCAGCAGCCGCGGCAAUACGGAGGGUGCGAGCGUUAAUCGGAAUUACUGGGCGUAAAGCGCUCGUAGGCGGUAUGUCAAGUCAAGGGUGAAAUCCCCGGGCUCAACGUGGGAACUGCCUUUGAAACUGGCAGACUGGAGUGUGUGAGAGGUUAGUGGAAUUCGAGGUGUAGGAGUGAAAUCCGUAGAUAUCUGGAGGAACAUCAGUGGCGAAGGCGACUAUCUGGCACAUAACUGACGCUGAGGAGCGAAAGCGUGGGUAGCAAACAGGAUUAGAUACCCGUGUAGUC